AUUGAACGCUGGCGGCAGGCCUAACACAUGCAAGUCGAACGGUAACAGGAAACAGCUUGCUGUUUCGCUGACGAGUGGCGGACGGGUGAGUAAUGUCUGGGAAACUGCCUGAUGGAGGGGGAUAACUACUGGAAACGGUAGCUAAUACCGCAUAACGUCGCAAGACCAAAGAGGGGGACCCUCGGGCCUCUUGCCAUCGGAUGUGCCCAGAUGGGAUUAGCUUGUUGGUGGGGUAACGGCUCACCCAGGCGACGAUCCCUAGCUGGUCUGAGAGGAUGACCAGCCACACUGGAACUGAGACACGGUCCAGACUCCUACGGGAGGCAGCAGUGGGGAAUAUUGCACAAUGGGCGCAAGCCUGAUGCAGCCAUGCCGCGUGUAUGAAGAAGGCCUUCGGGUUGUAAAGUACUUUCAGCGGGGAGGAAGGGAGUAAAGUUAAUACCUUUGCUCAUUGACGUUACCCGAAGAAGAAGCACCGGCUAACUCCGUG
rnacentral:rRNA from 1 species